rnacentral:rRNA from 1 species
CCUACGGGCGGCUGCAGUGGGGAAUAUUGCACAAUGGGGGAUACUCUGCUGCAGCAACGCCGCGUGAGCGAUGCAGGCCUUUGUAUCGUAAAGCUCUGUCCUAAGGGAAGAAUACUGACGGUACCUUAGGAUGAAGCCCCGGCUAACUACGUGCAAGCAGCCGCGGUAAUACGUAGGCGGCUAGCGUUAUCCGGAAUUACUGGGCGUAAAGGUUGCGUAGGCGUCCACUCAAGUCAGAGGUCAAAGGCUACGGCUCAACCGUAGUAAGCCUUUGAAACUGUAGGGCUUGAGUGCAGGAGAGGAGAGUGGAAUUCCCAGUGUAGCGGUGAAAUGCGUAGAAAUUGGGAGGAACACCAGUGGCGAAGGCGGCUCUAUGGACUGUAACUGACGCUGUGGCACUAAAGCGUUAGUAGGGAACGGGAUUAGAUACACGAGUAGUC